AGCAGGACUGGAGCCUGGAGAUAAAUGUCAUUGGGUGAGCAGGGUCAUGAUGCUCAAGAAACACCAUGAUCUUGCCCUUAUGCCCUACCCUCCUCACCAUCACUUGACCAAGAUGGCUUCUCCUCAUCAGAUAUGUGCCAUCUAACCUGGCUACAGUGGCUGUGACCCCGAGCGCCGUCAUGGUAGUGAGCACAUGCUCCACGGCCAACACGUCCUCAUCGUAGAUGGUGAGCACUAGCAGCGCGGCAAAGAGCGCUCCGGAGAAGAAGACCAGCUGGCGGGCCAGCAGUGCGCGCAGAGGAGCCGGGGGCUCGGCUGCAUGCAGGAAGGCGGCCGCGGGCCGGUAGGCGCGGCCGAGACGCGCACGCAGCUCGUGCGGCAGCUCGUUAAAGUGGCGCAGCUGCAGGCGGGCCAGGCGGGACCAGCGGCGCGCCCCGAAGGCGCCGGGCUCGCGCCGCAGCAGCUCCACGUGGCUGUAGAAAGCGUGCAGUACCUGCCAGGCCAGCACCAGGGGGCUCAGCGCCAAGUUCACGGCGGCCAGCAACAGCACCGUGCGCCGCCAGCGGGUGGCCAGGACGCCCCGGAAGUCGCUGCGCUUGUAGGCUUCGGGAAGCUCCCAGCCCCCGCGGAAGAGUGAGAAGGGACCGCGGAAGAGCAGCAAGUCCACGUUGAGCGCCAAGCCGCGGCUGAGGAAGGCGGCGCUGCCCCCCCAGGGCAGCGGGCAGCGGGCAGGCAGCAGACCCUUGUUGGCCAGCGCCACCUGGUAGUUGGUGUAGCGCAGGAUGCGGUGGUGGACGUCCAGUUCCGUCAGCGGCCGCGGCUGCACGCACAGCCCACCGCUCCUCUGCAGCUCCAGAAGGCGAGACUGCACCUCGGCCCAGGGUACCGAGCUGAGCUCCUCCUGCGGAGAGGGAACAAGCCUAGGGACCAGUAUCUCCCUCCACAGAGACGCAUAGCCUCCAUGACUCGCUGAGCUGCCUGCGAACUCCAGCCCUGGUGGCCUGCCUCCCACCAUUGGGUCGUGCCUUCUUCUAGACAUUCUGCUGACAGAAGCGCUUCUCCUUUCUUUCUGCCCCUUCUCAAUUAUUCUGCUCAUUACUUCCACUAGCCAUUAGUCAGUGAUAGGCUUCCUGCUGACACCUCUUAAGUAAACUUCAGGGACUGGGACCUGGCUUUCUUUGCUGACCCCCCUUAAGCCCCACAUAUAAAAGAAUGAGACGUCUCCUAUCU